rnacentral:lncRNA from 1 species
AGUGCCUAUCGGGCAGCCAGUGAACAUUUGUCCAUCUUUAAGGCAUUAAACUGAGAAGAACCACUGAGGAAAGCAUGCCACAGUCUUUCCCAAAAUCCCUGUGUCUUAAGGAACAACCAAGAAGUUAACUGGUCAGGGAAAAGAUUUCUUUUGGAACACAGAAGCCAUCGCUGUGUGCGGAAAUCCAUGACCUGGCCAUGACUUCUACAACCCGGAGGACUUGCCUGGCAUUACCGAAAAGCACAGGGGAAAGAUUCUGUGGCAGAGAAUGAUGGGAGUUGUGAUCCAUACCUCCGUGUGCAUAAUGGUUGUACCUGCUCCAGGAAGGCGCUGGAUCCUCCCAACUCCAUGGGAAGAGAUUAGGACACAAACAACAGACAGAAGGUGACCACAGGAGGACACAGUGAGAAGCUGGCCAUCUGCAAGCCAAGGAGAGAGACCUCAGGAGAAACCAAACCUGCCAGCACCUUAAUCUUAGACUUCUAGCCCUCAGAACGGUGAGGAAAUAAAUCUCUGUUGUUCAUGCC